GGGGCUAUAGCUCAGCUGGAUUAGAGCGUCACACUCCGGAUGUGAAGGUCAGCAGUUCGAAUCUGCUUAGCUCCG
rnacentral:tRNA from 1 species